rnacentral:rRNA from 1 species
CCUACGGGAGGCAGCAGUGAGGAAUAUUGGUCAAUGGGCGGGAGCCUGAACCAGCCAAGUCGCGUGAGGGAAGACGGUCCUAUGGAUUGUAAACCUCUUUAGGCGGGGAGAAAUGCCGGGCACGCGUGCCCGGAGGGAGAGUACCCGCAGAAUAAGCAUCGGCAAACUCCGUGCCAGCAGCCGCGGUAAUACGGGGAAUGCGAGCGUUACCGGGCUUUAUGGGGUUUAUAGGGUGCGUAGGCGGAUUUUUAAGUCAGCGGUAAAAUGUCCGGGCUCAACCCGGGCCGGCCGUUGAAACUGGUGAUCUUGAGUGGGCGAGAAGUAUGCGGAAUGCGUGGUGUAGCGGUGAAAUGCAUAGAUAUUACGAAGAACACCGGUUGCGAAGGCAGCAUACCGG